ACACGCGAUAACAAUCCACUAAGAAUAAAAAAGAUUACAAGGUGAUUUACCGAAUCCACGGACUCAAACCUCUCUUUUAUCUUCUCCGGAUCUCGUGCACACCAACGGCUUGUCCACACCCCACGUCCGAAUCCACGAACGCCACGUCCCGAAUCCACGAAACGCCAACACUUCGAAUCCACGAAGCCUUGAUCACGCCGAACCCACGACGCCCACUCG
rnacentral:lncRNA from 1 species